GUCCAGGCCUCUUCCGGUAAGCCAUGGAGAGAUGAGGCUUAGUGUCCACACAUCUCUGGAGUCCUCAGUCCUAUUGGAGAAGGGGUGGAGGGGAGGAGAG